UUCAGGCUGGUUAAAAAAAAAAUCAAAGCUGAAAGAUGUGUAUCUAUUUAAUUAUUUCAAGAGGAACUGUUUCCGGGGCUUAGGAGGGUAUUCCUGAUCCACCUUUUUGCCUAGUAAUGUUGGAGGGGUCUUCUUGGGAAGCUCCAGGACAUUCUCCAUGAGUCCAGCCCCAACGCACUGCAACGCCUGUGCCAUUGGUACGUUACAGCGGAUCCUACACAGCAGCUGCCCUGGUGGGGAGUCAGGGAAAGCUGAGAGGUCGGGUCCACGUGGAGGUUCCCGACUGGUAGGAUGCUUCUACUUCCGGAAACAUUCUGUUACUGUAGAUUUUCCUCAGGGUAGGAAUGGCAACAAUGUUUUCCCCUCAAGCUGUGGAGAGACUCUGAGAUACUGUUACUAAAUGUUAGUAACAAGAUAUUGUUACUAACACUGUGGUAGUGUAUUGUUAUCUUCUCUACACUGAGGACACUCUGGUGCAGUUCACUAGACCAAAACAAAGCCAAACUGAAAAAACAACAAAAGAAAAUUCUUGUCAUCCAGGAAAACACUGAAUGUCCAGUUCUGCCAGUGAUUAAAAUGGUAAGCCUUUUAAUUGGUCCCAAGUAUAAACAUGCUCAUUUGGCCAAAUUCCCAAUCAACAUUAAUAACGCUAAAGUCAUUUGCUCAUCUACAUUUUUAAUGGACUUACUCAUCUUGGUAUUAUUUUAUUCUUGUCUACAUUUUACACCGUAAUUUUCUCCAUAUGUAAAGUCAAAAGAAAAGUAUUCCAGGUUUUGGCUUUUAAAACACCAACAAGCACUCUAUUGUAUCCACUUACAAACAAACAUCUCUCUGUGCAUGUAGUGUAGCUGUUCCUUAGUUCAAAUGGAGAUUUACAUCUUAGCCUGAUGCUGGUGUAACAAGUGGACUUUAGGAUUUGACACAGGUAGUUAACUUUAGUUCAGGGAACACCAAGAUGACAAACUCAAAUUUUAUUAAUUUUGGCAGGCCUCAUAACAAAUAUUAUCAGUUUGGCCUGGAAUCAGAUAAUCUUAGCAGGCCCAGUAGGGAAGCAAACAGAUUACACAGAGAAAAAAUGAAGACCAGGUGGGAAGGAGGCAGCAGCUGAUACAGCUGUGCAUUUAAGACCCUCUCUACUGAAUUACCUUGGCCUUUAUUCUGUUUUGCCUCGUUAGGCUAAACAGCAUGAUUUUUCCCACCAGCACAGCUGCACCUGAGGAGCCUGCGCAGGAGCAUCCUGACUAUCUGCCUGCACUCUCGGGCUUACCUGAGGCUCUCUGUUCAUGACUACCAGAAACUGAAAAUCUUCAUUUCUAAUUUCAUGAUAAAACCCGAAAAAGAUUUCAGGAUGUAUUUAGAGGAGGGAAUGAAGAUUUCAUCUACCAGACAUCAUCCACACAUCUCCCAGAAGGCAAUAAGUGGAAAAAAAGGGCACACGAAUGCUUUGUCUGUGACUUCCAUUCUACCAUGUGAUUAAAAUGUCACCACCAACUGAAAAAAGAAUGAGGAGAAGCCAGUAGGAGCCAAUACUUACAAUAAUUUGAACCAGCCUUGAACUGUUGCCCCUCAGUCAGGCCACCUCCCUUGGAACCAGCUGAUUAUGGACUGAAACAAACUGUCUGCCAUAUCAGGUGGUCAGAAAAGGAAGAAGAGCGGCACACUUUUAACCAACUACCAAAGUCUAGGUAUCUGUGAAGUGCACUUAUUUCAUCUCUAAAGUCUAUGUCUGAUGUGCUUGUGAGAUGGCAGGUGUUAUGUGCCUGAAAAUGAUCUGAAAAAUAGUUAUCCUCCUUGGUCUUUCUGCUUGGGUUUCUUGUUAUCUACAUACAAUAUUUGUGUAGGGAAGCAUUUGCUUACCAAAAUUAUUAUCCAUUUUAUAAGUUUCAGAAUAAAUGUAAGAAUAUUUAGUUAAAGUAUUAAUAUUUAUGCAAUUUUAAAAUUAUUAUGCACAAAAAUGUACAUCAAUGAAAACAUUACCGUAGGUUAAAGUGCAAUAAAACUAUGACAUCAUUUUUGACAAUAAUAGAUUUUUAAGGUGAUAAUGAGGAUUAAAUCAAAAGCUAUUUUCAUGCAAGGUAUGUGUUUUACCACUAAACAACAUCCCAAAGUCAGAAAAAAUAAUGUUUUAAAAAUACUUGUAUCUAUUAACGUAUAAAGCUAUAAUGAAGUACAAUGCAAGUAUUUAUGAUGGAAUAGAAUGUAUGAUUAUUUGAAUAGGAAGGUCAGCUAAAAGUACUUCAUGUGAAGUAUUAUGUUUAUACUAUGUGCUUCAUUUUAAACAUUUACAUUUUUCUUUAGUGAGGACUUAGACUUCACCAGAGUAUCAUUAUAAUACCAUCAAAUAUGGGUUUCUACUCCUGAAAGUUAAACAAAAACAUUUAAUGAAAAAGUAAAGUGUUCAGUAAAAUAUCAAACCAACAGAAAAAAAUUUAAGUUAUACUUUGGUGUGCCUGUCUUAUCUAUCUUCCUUUCAGAGCAUUUUGCUACUCUCAAAAUUAUAAAAUUUUAUCAACAAUAUCAAUUAAUUCUCACACACCAAAAUUUAUUUAAUUUUUUCAUUUGUCAUAUGCAUAAGAAAAUUGAUAUCUGAAGCAAAAAGACAGUUAUAUUAAACAUCAAUCUAUAUUUAAAGAAAUGCAUAUGUGAUUUGUUAGAGUCACAGGAAACAAAAAUCUCAUUAUAUGUACAAUAUUACGUACUCAGGAAAGAAGUCAGCAGUUCAGAUCAAAAUUUAUGUAUGUUUACCUUUACUGCAGCAUUGUAGAUUAAAAAAAUCAGUGUAACUACUUACAUGUGUUUUUACUUUUCUACCAACAUUUCACAUCUUCCAUAAAAAGUAUGACACAAUGUAUUACAUAUUCAUUAUGAAUAAGUUGUGAUUUGUAUUUAUCAAGAAAUUUGGUUGGUUUAAAAUUAUAAUACAGUAGUGCUACAAAAAUUAAUAGGGAAACAAAGUUUUUGAUUUAUGUGUCUACCUUUAUGACAAAAAUGUGAAAAUUUGACAUGAGGGAAAAUUGGAAGCUUCGUACACAGCUGCUGAUACCAUGAGGUGUUGUAGCUGCUAUUGCCAUUAGUCUGCAGGACCCAAAGUCUCAAACCGAGAGACACCAGCAAUUCCACAUCUAAUUAAGUAGACAGAAAUGCCAACAAAACUUGGAGGCAAUAAUUCAUUUCCAUGUCAGGUUUUAUUGCUCCGUGGUGAUGUUUAAUUCAUUUUCUUAUUGUAAAUUCCACUGAGGUUUUUCAAUAAGAGUGAAAUAGGCCAUGAAAGUCUUCUGCUAUCACUGUGGAGCUGUUUAUUUUCCUUUUAAUGCAAAAUCUUCAAGCAACACAACUGUUCACCAAUUGUUGAAUUAAUUUUUAAUAUAUUAUAUAGGAAUAUGAUGCAAUAUUGUCAUCACUAAAAAAGAAUGAAGUUCUAAUAGGUUCUAUCACAUGAAUGUACCUUGUAAACAUCAUGUUAAGUGUAACAAAUCAAUUAUGAUAGGGGAUCUUUUGUAUGUUUCCAUUACAUGAAAUAUACAACAGACAGACUUAACCAGACAAAAAAGUAUGCUAUUAUUUUUCCAGGGUUGUAUGUUGGAGCUUGUUGAAGGAAUUCCAUGAGGAAAAAGAUGUCCCUGUUAGUGUGCAUUUAUCUUUUCUUACUGGUAGGUUAUAUAUGUAAUAAAGUUAGAUUUUGAUAGUGAUUGAAGAAUCAUGGGAACUUACUAAAAUUAUUCAAUUUUCCUUUUAAAAUAGAUUGUAUAUCGAUGAAACAUCUAAAAACUAAAAAUAUUUAAUUUCAAAAUCAUUAUAGUAUUUUAUAAUUCUGAUUACUUUUAUUUAUUUAUUUAAUUUUGGUACUUGGAAUCAAACUCAUGACCUCGAGCUUGCCAGGCAAGGGUGGUGCCACUGAGCUGUAUCCCCAUCUAAUUAAUUCUAAAUGAUAUAUAAAGCUCAACAGUGGAUAAAAUCUCUUUUAAACAUGUGGAAGCCAUUAACAUAAAAUACAUUGAGUAUAAUUACCAUGAAACUGAUAAAUAUUAAAAAUUCUGCCUCAUUCUGCACAAUCCAACAUUUAAUGCCUGAGAGUUCUACAUACUGAAUUUUACUGAAGUUAUAACAACUAUAAUUACUUCAUAAUAAAAAUUCAUCUAACAGUUAUGUCUGAAGAUAUUUUUCUAUACAAUAAUAUAAAGCUAAAUCUGUUUAUUAAAAAGUCACUGUUUCUUGAAAACAUCACAGUUACCCUUACCUAACAUUAUCCACAGAUGUAGUAAGGCUCUGUAUUGUUUUGAUUAUCAAGCUACUAUUAACUUAUGCAUAACUAGCGAUACCCAUAUGGAAAAAAUGCAGUUUGAGAAAUCCUGCUGUGAUAAUUGAGACGUGUUCUGUAUUGAUCCAGGAAGUACUUGGCUUAUAAUUUAAUAUUUUCCAGUUUGAUAUAACAAAAUAAGCAUUCACUAAACUGUUCACCUACACAGGGAACCAUGAUCUUUCAAUUACACUGAAGUUUAUUGAGGCCAUCAAUAGUAGUGAUUUGUAAGGUCAAGAGGCUCAAACUUCUAACUCUGUGUUGGAGAUCUGGUCACAGAUUUUGUGGAUGAAAAUAUAAAGGAAAGUAAAGAUGUAAAAAUUAUAAUUUAUAUUUUAUGAUUUGAAAUUGUCUGGAAUUUAAAUCAACUAUUUUUCAUAGUAUCGUCUUAAUGUUUAUUAGCUGUAAAAACUGUUUUUCAUUCUAGUGAAGUUUCAAAAUAACAGGACAGUAUACUUUUUUGAUUUCUAACAUAGGAGAAUCCAUGUAUUUCAUUCAUUUUCAUGCAAAGUACUACUUUUAUAACUGAUAUUGUUUAUUUUUAAUGCACAGCAAUAUGAUAUUUGGUAGUAUUUUUACUUAAUUAGCAAAAUAUCAUUGUUAAUUUUACUACUUCAUUAUCAAAAGACUAUGAUAUUAAUAUUAUAAGUAAACACAUAUACUAUCAAACAUAAAUCAGGAAAAGUUAGUAAUAAAUGAUCCUUAAAGAAUCAAAUGAAUAUUGUAUUAGUUACUUUUCUUAUUGCUGAAACAAAAUGCCUGACACCCAAAGUUCAAAGAAGAAAGGUCUAUUUGGCUCAUGGUUUGUAGAGGCUUCAGUUCAUAGUUGGCUGGUUCCAAGGCAGGGUAGCAUGGCAGAGGGGCAACUCACAGGAGGAAAAGGUCAUGGUGGGCAAAAGACAUCAAACAGUGAAGUAAAUGAGAAGCAGCUCACAACAACUACCCUCUUUCUAUCUGCUGUAUCUCAUUCAGGCUACCCACCCUUAGCAU